CCUCCGCCCUCUGCUCCGUGUACACGUGCUGCUCCUCCGCCCUCUGCUCCGUGUACACGUGCUGCUCCUCCGCCUCUGCUCCGUGUACACGUGCUGCUCCUCCGCCUCUCUCGCUCCGUGUACACGUGCUGCUCCUCCGCCCCUCUGCCCGUUACACGUGCUGCCCCUCCGUCCUCCGCCCGUGUACCUGCUGCGCUCCUCCUUCCUCCGCCCUC
rnacentral:lncRNA from 1 species